ensembl:ncRNA lncRNA:CR45303 long non-coding RNA:CR45303
ACAAAUGUCAUUUCACAAAAACAUUUUACACAAAAUCUGAAAAAAAGACUGAGAUGCUAAAUGAACAAGAUGGGCGAUCCCAGGCAACCGCCCAUAUAAUGUAAGAUAAUACGGAACGUGAAGGGCUGUGUAUGUGUGAUUUCUGUUGGUGGAGCCCAGAGGGAAAGUGUCAAACGCAACAUUAUGAAAAUGACACGAGGAAGCCAUAAAUAUUAAAACAAAGCAGGCUAACAGCAGCAACAAUGUCACAACACAGCAUGGGAUAUUCGAAGAGGAGGGACCCUGGACCGACUCGCAGCGGGGGCGUGAAUUUCACAGAAAAAAAAAAGAAAUAAGAAAUAAGACUACGGAAAAUUAUUAAGGAGUUGACAGUUGACAUUGGGCACACAGACUUAAAGAUACAAAUGUAUCCGCUAGUCACUUACCAACAGUGGGCCCCCGCUGGAUGUCACAUCUGUGUCACUUUACGCAUGAUUGACGCCCCAAAUGGGUGUGCCGCCCUCAGAGACCGGCAACUUGAGCCGAGAAUACGAAAAAUUGUAAUGGCUCUGGGUGUAAUUUAUAACAAAACUGUUAAUUAGCUGCGACGACAACACUGACAUCAGUCAGCUGCUGUGCUGUUGCGUUUAAUUUAUGGCCAACAUGCGAGUGGGUCUCGCCACCUAUUAGAACAAGUCUCCGGACUUUUUGGGCCGGGAAUGUGGCAACAAGUCCCCUAGUUUUGGAUACUGCGACAUUUAUCUGCACAGUCGCUUUUUAAACUUGACUUUGUUGCAAAUUCGUCGAAGACGUAAUCACUUGAACGCGAAAUUAAUUUGUAUUACAAAAAGCUAAGCAUAAAUAGCCAUGAAUGGUGUGUAUUAUUUACUAUCAGUUGUACAAUGGCAAAGUUCGCGAAUGCUAAUCUCUGGCUAAUCUCAAACGGCACUUCAUAAAUCAUGGAAUAAAUCACCGAAUCUUAAACGUCAACUUGCCAGUGCAAUAAUAUAUCAAUCUGCCAAGGAAAAUCACAGCACUGAACCGCUGUCGACAUUGUAUAGGGCCACAAAUAAUCCACCUGCAAUCUCAGUCGGCUAUUAUAAAUUAUUUAUAGGCGGUUGGUUGUCCGUUUUAGCAGAAU